rnacentral:rRNA from 1 species
GCAUAACGCGAAGAACCUUACCUACCCUUGACAUGUCAGAGAUCCCUGAGAGAUUGGGGAGUGCCGCAAGGAAUCUGAACACAGGUGCUGCAUGGCUGUCGUCAGCUCGUGUCGUGAGAUGUUGGGUUAAGUCCCGCAACGAGCGCAACCCUUGUCGUUAAUUGCCAUCAUUUGGUUGAGCACUUUAACGAGACUGCCGGUGACAAACCGGAGGAAGGUGGGGAUGACGUCAAGUCCUCAUGGCCCUUAUGGGUAGGGCUUCACACGUCAUACAAUGGUCGGUACAGAGGGUUGCGAAGCCGCGAGGUGGAGCCAAUCCCAGAAAGCCGAUCGUAGUCCGGAUUGGAGGCUGCAACUCGCCUCCAUGAAGUCGGAAUCGCUAGUAAUCGCGGAUCAGCAUGUCGCGGUGAAUACGUUCCCGGGUCUUGUACACACCG